rnacentral:rRNA from 1 species
GAUGGACGCUGGCGGCGUGCCUAAUACAUGCAAGUCGAGCGGACAGAUGAGGAUCUUGCUCCUCUGACGUUAGCGGCGGACGGGUGAGUCACACGUGGAUAACCUCCCUAUAAGACUGGGAUAACUUCGGGAAACCGGAUCUAAUACCGGAUAAUAUAUUGAACCGCAUGGUUCAAUAGUGAAAGACGGUUUUGCUGUCACUUAUAGAUGGAUCCGCGCCGCAUUAGCUAGUUGGUAAGGUAACGGCUUACCAAGGCAACGAUGCGUAGCCGAACUGAGAGGGUGAUCGGCCACACUGGAACUGAGACACGGUCCAGACUCCUACGGGAGGCAGCAGUAGGGAAUCUUACGCAAUGGGCGAAAGCAUGACGGAGCAACGCCGCGUGAGUGAUGAAGGUCUUCGGAUCGUAAAACUCUGUUAUUAGGGAAGAACAGAUGUGUAAGUAACUAUGGCCGUCUUGACGGUACCUAAUCAGAAAGCAACGGCUAACUACGUG